rnacentral:rRNA from 1 species
UACAUGGGGUGCAAGCGUUGCUCGGAAUCAUUGGGCGUAAAGCGCGCGUAGGCGGUUACUUAAGUUGGAUGUGAAAGCCCUCGGCUUAACUGAGGAAGUGCAUCCAAAACUGAGUAGCUAGAGUACGAAAGAGGGUCGCGGAAUUCCCGGUGUAGAGGUGAAAUUCGUAGAUAUCGGGAGGAACACCGGUGGCGAAGGCGGCGACCUGGGUCGAGACUGACGCUGAGGCGCGAAAGCGUGGGGAGCAAACAGG